CAGGGCCAACUCUGUCCUUCAAGCCAUCCGGGGCACCUUCAUUACCAUCAGGGACAAAGGACAGAUUUGCAACACACACAGGCACUGAGAAUCCGAGCGGCAAGUAAGUGGGAAGUGGAGCAUGUGGCCCCCCUCCAAACGGAGAGGAUGCAAAUCCCAAGCUGGGCUGCGGGAUGGAAGACGGCAGGGUAUUCAGCCUGAGCCAAAGCCGCCCACUGACUGACAGAGACACGCCCAAGCCACAGGUGAGGCGGCCCAGGCACCUGCCACAGGCGAAGCUCGCAUCCUAGUCAUCCUACUCAGGAGCAAAGAACGGAGUAAGGCAGCUCCGGAAAGGCCCUUCCAAAGCCUGCAAACCAGUGGGCAGAGAAGCCGAGGUCAGGCCUGCCUUGGUGGGGCCCUGUUCACCAGUCACAGGGGAGGAUGACCCCUCUCUGCAAAGGCAGUGGAGGCUCCUGCUCUCACCCUCCCUUUGUGCCCUCCCCAGACAGGCAGCAGCAGUGGCUCAGAGGGCUCCAGGGACAGCUCAGACCAGAGGAGGACACAGGACACAGGACACCAGGGAGGGAACAAUUCCCCCACAAGGGAAGGCUUCCCAGAGCAGGUCUUAGAAGAUGAGCAGGGGUCUGAGCAGGCCAGGCAGAGAGGUCCACAGCCUCCUACAGGCUGCAGGCAGAGCCCAAGAGGGCUGGGAAGGUGGGCAAAGGGCCCAGAUCACUGACAGCCAGACCUCCCAGUCACAGGGCCCCCAAAUCAGGGGCGGUAUCUCAGGAUGUACAUUUUACUUAAGAAAGAUGAUUUUGAAAAAAAAAAAAGAAAGAAAGAAAGAUGAUUUUGGCCACAAUGUGGAGAAGAGGGAGUGGGGAUGAAAUGAGGAGGUAGGCAGAACACUCCAGAAACUCUUAUAAGACAGCAACCGACAGGAGCACCUGGGAGGAUGAGGCACAGUCACAGGCAUGAGAGCGUUUAAAAGAAGACAAACCAUAGACGGGGUGAAGGGGAUGAUCCCGAGGGGUCUCCUGGGGGAGGAUGUGGCCUUCGUUUUAGACGUGCUGACUCGACGCCAGAGACGCCUGGGGGAGCUGAGUGGAGGGCCAGCAGCAGAUAAUGCGGUUGCGGCACAAGAUAAAGUUUAAGGGGGAGACACCUCAAUGAAGUCCCUUAUGGGGAAGGAGUGGAAUGAGAAGAGGCUCAAGGAACUGGGAACCCCAGGACACGAACAUCAGGUGCAGAGAGGAGGUGGGAGUCCAAAACGGAAGACAAGAAGGAAGUGGCACAAAACCAGGGGAGCAGAUGAGAAAGCACCGAGAAGGCAUCGUGGAUGACAUCUGCUAAGGGCUGAGGUCGAGUGCACGGGUGAGGUCAUCAGUGGGGCCCAGGAGAAGCCAGACGAGAGGUCCGUGAGGAGUCACUGAGGACCCGCCGCCGGAGCAGACUCUCGACCUGACCCAGGGCAAAGCCAGAUCAAAGGGCAAUGAAUGUGACCCGGAUGGGAGGAGGAAGCAAAGAUGGGGUACAGACAGGGUGCUCUGGAAACUCAGAUGUGAACAAAACACAACAGAGGCUUGAACGCAAGGCCUGAAGCUGCUACCUCUUAGGCUAAAGCCAGCCACUGCCUUACCGCAGUUUCCUGAUCGUUCAAUCCCCGCCAGAAGGUGCUAUACAGAGUGGAAAAUGCCUGAGAAAACAGCUUAGACACUGCAAAGGGCUUAGACACAAAUUUCAAACUGUUCAGCUGUGUCUUAGGACAUUCCAGAGAAGCAACUGAGGGCAGACUCAUCUCCAUCUUCUACUAACACGCAGCAUCCGUGGCAAGACAGACGCUCUUACUGUAAGGAAUCUUCAACUGAAGAGUAACAUGUUAUGCUUUUUUGUUUUCUUUAGUAUAAAAUAAUAAUGCUCAUUUUAGAAAAUGCAGAAAAGAAAUAAAAAUAAUCCCAACUGCA